rnacentral:lncRNA from 1 species
ACCCCUGGGUUCUGGCUGCUAAGAGCCGCAAUCACUACUGCAUUAUCAUGUCCAAUGUUUUGCUGAUAAUGUAUAAGACCUUCUGGGAACACAAACACAUCUCCUUCAUUCAGGACUUUGGUGAUGUGACGAUUUUCUGUAUUUGAGGUCACAAAUCCCACCCGCAGUGUACCUUUUAUGAUGGUCAGAAUUUCAGUAGCACGAGGAUGGGUGUGUGGAGCAUUGAUUCCCCAUGGUGCAAAGUCGAUACGAACAAGAGAAAUGCCGAGAGUGUUGAGUCCAGGAAUCCUGCCAACAUUAACUGUUGUUACGUUUGAUCCUACCAGAUUUUUUGAUGUGUCACCGGCCACGUUCAAUCCGCUAGUGAAGAAGUCAUUUUCAGUUACAACCUUGGGGUCCUUACAGACUAGUCCAUUAAUCAACACUGAAACAUGCAACAAGUAAAUUGUCAAGUACAUAUACUGAAGUAACUGAACCAUUAAAAGAAAUUGCGGUCUACGUACAAGAAAAGAAAUUGCAUGCAAGAUAGAUCAAAUACCUGGGCUAUUGGCAUCAGCAACGCAGAAAUCCUGAAGAGGGUUAUUAUCUGUGGCCAAAGCAACGAAGCAAGUCAAGGUACUAAUUAGGAAUCCUAUGAAGAGAAUAUUAGAUGCCAAUGAAGAAGCCAUCUUCCAACUCUAGGUUUAGCUGUUUUGUGAUCUAAGAGAUGAACAAAGUAUAAGAGAACAAAUGAUGAUGAGCUUGGGAUUAAGUUAAGUUGUGAAGAUUGGAUUGUUGGGUAUGGCUUAUAUAGAAAUCUUUUAGGAGGGGAAGUGUGACAAAGAGGACAAAAUUAAGACCCAAAUGUUUAUUUUGGCGUUGAACCAGUCUUUAUAAUACUACGUAUAUAUUAGAAUUUAAACUAAUCUUGAACUAGUCCUAUUUAAUUAUACACCAACUCAAGAUAUAUACGCCAAUUCCAGACUCGUUUCUCCACUGACGAGAAUCGUUCUCUCCAGAUAUUGAAGUGUUAGAUAUACGUUCUGUAUUUUUAUUCACUAAUAUAUAUACCACGUUUCCGAUAUCAGAAAACUCUUAACUAAAAAUAUGUGUAUUAUAUUAAAAAUAAAUUUUUAGAGGAAAUUUUAACCGUUCUCGGUCAAUUUAACCCAGAGAUGAUGUAACCAUGGCCGCAAUCAAUGACAUAGGGUUACUCACUUUGUCAAAAAGGAAGUUGUAUUAAGUAUAUAUUCACGUUCAAAAGUUAUAUGAUUGUUGCGAAAAUAUUAAAACAAUAUAUUACUCUCUGUGUUACAUUCAAUUCUAUAUGUUUUUAUUUCACUGCUCAACGGUCGACACACCUCUUCAUAUUUUUAUAAAAUAUAAUUCUCUAACUUAUUUUUAAGAUUCUUUAAAAUAAAAUUUAACAUAUAAAUUUUUAUUUAGAAAACAAAAUUUUAUAAAUAAGUUACGAUAAAUAAGUGAUAGAACUUUAUUUUACAAAAUUAUAUUUUAGAAGAGUAUUAAUCCUCCCGAGUAUACUUCAGGCGAGAGGGAAUAUAUUUCUAAAGACUUCAUAAUUAUAGAACUAGUGACUAGUGACUUUAAUUUGUUUCUUCGUAUAGUUCAUAUCUUAAUUCUAUUUAUUUUUUAAAAUGUACAUCCAUUUUUAUGUUCUAGCUCUCUUAAUAUUUUAUUUCAAAAAAAAAAGCUCUCUUAAUAUUUGAUUUUAAUAAAAUACAUUUGAAUAAAUUUAUAUAUAUAUAUAUAUAUAUAUAUAUUAAAAAGUAAUUCAAUUUUUUGAGUCAAAUUUUAAUUAUAUAGAAUUUAUAUCUUUUCAUUAAUUAUUUCUGUAUUCAUAUUAAAUAAAAUAAAGUUUUCUAUAUUUUUAUUUAAUUAAUUUUUAGUUUAUUGAUCCAGUAAGUUAUUGACAUCAUAGGGAAUUUGAAUUACGAAUACGGCCAACUGAUCCUAGCUAUGCUAACAUUGCAAGUUCGCUUCUCAUAGCUGUUAACGAAAUGAAUAUUUAAUGAAAUAUUCGGAAUUCGAAUUCGUUUAGUAUUAUUCGUAUUCGUUUAUUAACAAAUACAAAUACGAAUUCAAAUCUUAAAAAAUAUUCGAUUCAUUAACAAAUACAAAUUCGAAUAGAUAAAUAUUCAUAUUCGCUAUUCGCUUAAUUAUUCGGAAAUUAAAUAUUAUAUAUGUAUAUAUUAUUUUAUAUUAUAUAGAAAAAUAGGAAGAGAGACGGAUUAUGGAUUAUUUUGGGACUAGAUAUUAAAUUAAACCAGCCCAGUCCAUAUACUAAAAGGUUGAGCGCAGUAAAACACAACCCUAAUUCUCUAAUUGUUUCUCUCGUCAAGUCGCCUCCCGACUCAUCUCACUCUGUUCUCUCUAAUUGUUUAUAACUUUUUUCGGGACAACACUUCAAUUAUUUAGUUCUGUUUUUUUUUAAAUGAGUACCUUAAACGAAUACGAAUAGUUCGUGAAUCUAACCAAAUCCGAAUACGAAAACAAAUAAUUAUUCGGAUAAUAAACGAAUACAAAUCCAAAUAUAUGUAUUUAAACCGAAUACAAAUAUGAAAAUUAAGAUAUUCGUUUCGAAUUCGUUUCAUUAACAGCCCUAUGAGAGUACAAUUUUGUCCAUCCAUCAGUUGCCAGAAAAGGCCAUGUCCGUCAAAAAACUCUAUCACCAGUAGCGUUGGCAAUUUCAGGUUUCGGGUCGGGUUGACAGUUGCGGGUCAAAAUAUUUACCCAACUCGAACUCGACCCGAAAUUUUAAUGUAUCAGAAUAUCCAACCCGAUCCGUACUACCCGCGGGUAACCCGAAAUCGACUCGAAAAUUAAUAUUUAUUAAUAAAAACAUUUUUUAAAUAAUAAAUAAAUAUUUUUUUAAUCCAAAUGAAUUAAUUUUUAUAAAAUUAAAUAAUUUUAUAUUAAAUUUAACUAAUAAAUAUUACAAAAAUAACAUAAAUAUAUAUAAUAUUUAUAUUAUAUAUUAAUUUUCGGGUAUUUUCGGGUCAAUUUCCGGUAACCCGAAUUCAACCCGAAAAUGACCCGUUUUUUCUGGGUUGAUUUUGAGUCAACCCGAAUUCGACCCGAACCCGAAAAACUCUAACCCAAAUUCGUAUUUUGCGGGUCGAAUUCGUGUCGGGUUGUCAGGUCGGGUCCAAUAUUGCCACCUCUAAUCACGAGGUAAAUGCCGGUGGGGUACAUGCAUCUGGUUUAUUAUAUUUUUUAUCUAUUAAUAAUAAUAAAUUCAUUUUUAUAAUAAUUAAAUUAAAUAUAGAUAAAUUAAUAACCAAUAUUUUAGUGAUGUAUAAUAAUAUAUUAAUAUUUAAAUUUGUUAUGAUUCCAACACAUAAUAACUUUAUAUAUUUUAUCUCAGCAAAUUUAUAGAUUCCUUAUAACACUAUUAUUUAAUAUUUAAAGCUGCCGGCUCUUGUACAGGUAACAAGAUAUACAUAAUGUGUUCCUACUGAUUUUAUAACAAUUCAACGAUUGGGUAAGUUCUCCUGCAGUUGGUAGGACUAUUUAUAUUAAAGACCGCUUUGCCUGCUAAAUACGUGUAAAUCUAUCACUCCAGAAGAUUGAUUUGGCAAACACUUCCCGUUUCAAAACACGUACCCUGACGAGGAGAUUUUUUUUUGACAAACAAAGUGAUUUUAUUAACAUGCUUCAACUAAAAUUACAGACUUAACUCCUAUCAAAAAUUCGAUUUGAAAAAAAUAAACAAAAACACAAAUCACAAUCAAGACAAAAUCUCCAAAGACUGACACUAGAACUUAAAUUGAAACAUAAUUAACAAAAAAAAUAUAAUAAACCUGUGACUGUUGAUAACAUAAGUUUAAAACUGUGAGAGCUUGAUUAAAAAAUAAAAUAAUACUCCCUCAUUUCCUCUCAAUUCUUUACAUUGAAUUUGAGCAUGGAAGUUAAGAAAUAUGUAUAAAAUAAUGGGAAAAAGAAAAAAAAAUAGGUGAAGUGGUGAGAUUUUUAAUAUAUAAAAAGGAGAUAAUGGAGUAAAAAUAGUGUGAAAAGAAGAAAAAGUGGGAAAGUAGUGAGACCCAUUAGAUAAUUUAGGAAAAUUUUGUAAUGUAAAAAAAUUAGUAAGACGUAAAAAAAGAAAAAUGUGAAAAAUUUAAAGGGAGAAAGGGAGUAGCAGUUAUCAGAGCGUACGCGUGUACAAAAUCAGGCCAUCUUGCUUAAGUAGUUGUCUGAUAUAUUCUGUUGGUCUCAUAUAUUCAGUUGGUUGACUUUAGUUGUGAAUCUGUGAGUUCUUAUCGUCUGUGGCCACUGGCCACUGGACUAGGUGAAGAGCAUGCCUAAACAGUUUCAUAAUAUAAUAUUUUAAAAUUUGAAGAGUUUUUAAUUUUUCAAACAAAUAAUAUUUAUGUAUAUGUAAUAAUUUACUUUUAUUAUAUAUUAGCUUAAAACUUUUAAUAUAUAUUUUUCUCUUAAUUUUUGUUAUAAGUCAAGUAAUAUCUCUAUUUUUUUCCGCAGAUAUUAGCAUUAUCUGCAAAUUGAUACUAUAUUUUUGUAUCAUAAUUUUAGUUUAAAUUUAAUUUUUAUAUAUUAAAUUAUUUUCUGAACAUUUUGGGUCAAUUUACCAAAUAAAUAUUCUUAAUAGAUAAUUAAUAUAUAAUUUUUAUUUUUUAUCACAAAUUAUAUAUUAUUAUUUGUUUCUCUAUAUUAUAUAUUUGAUAAAUUUAAAACUAAUAAUUUUAUACUGAAAAAUUAAAUAAUUUAGUUUUACGUUACGGUCUCCCAGAUUAUUGAGUUCCUCUGCCCGGGACCUCGUAUUGUCGUAAUCUGUCGCAGCUGCUUUAAGUCUCCAUUGGUGUUGAUUCCAUCUCUCGAUCCUCUAUAUGUUGUUUUAACUCCAUGUCUCCGUUCUCAGCAUUUUAUCGCUAAUCUGCUUUGAUAAAGCACAAUCCUUGAUUUACCAGAUAUUUCGAACAGUUCUGAGCCUUUUCUUCUUUUAGCAUAUGGGUAAAUAUGAUCAGCUCGGUCUCUUUCUUCUUUUAGCACAAGGAGCGCAGCUAAGUAAUUUAAGUAUUGAGAUUAUUACUUUGAAGUGUUCAGAUUUGACUAGACAAACAAAACGACCGCAGUCACCUGAGGUUUUUAUUUAUGCUUGAUACAGUAAGCAUAUUGCCAUACAAAGAGUAGACAAAGCAACAAUUACAAAUAAAACUAAACAAUAAUUGAAAAAUGGCUCAACAGCCAUAACACACUAUUCGACGAAUCCAGAAUGUUCAUCUGCUUAAAAUCGUGCCUGCAAUUGUUUGACUGUGUUUUUGUUUAGCUGGAAUGCCUUGGCAAGAAUGUCAGCCGAUAUAUCAGGAUUGGCUCCGAAUACAGCAUUUGCAAUGGUGAUAACCCCGGGGUUCUGGCUGCUAAGAGCCGCAAUCACUACUGCAUUAUCAUGUCCAAUGUUUUGCUGAUAAUGUAUAAGACCUUCUGGGAACACAAACACAUCUCCUUCAUUCAGGACUUUGGUGAUGUGACGAUUUUCUGUAUUUGAGGUCACAAAUCCCACCCGCAGUGUACCUUUUAUGACGGUCAGAAUUUCAGUAGCACGAGGAUGGGUGUGUGGAGCAUUGAUUCCCCAUGGUGCAAAGUCGAUACGAACAAGAGAAAUGCCGAGAGUGUUGAGUCCAGGAAUUCUGGC